AGAGUUUGAUCAUGGCUCAGGAUGAACGCUAGCUACAGGCUUAACACAUGCAAGUCGAGGGGCAGCGGGAUUGAAGCUCGCUUCAAUUGCCGGCGACCGGCGCACGGGUGAGUAGCGUGUAUCCAACCUUCCGUACACUCAGGGAUAGCCUUUCGAAAGAAAGAUUAAUACCUGAUGGUAUCUUAAGCACACAUGUAAUUAAGAUUAAAGAUUUAUCGGUGUACGAUGGGGAUGCGUUCCAUUAGGUAGUAGGCGGGGUAACGGCCCACCUAGCCAACGAUGGAUAGGGGUUCUGAGAGGAAGGUCCCCCACAUUGGAACUGAGACACGGUCCAAACUCCUACGGGAGGCAGCAGUGAGGAAUAUUGGUCAAUGGACGAGAGUCUGAACCAGCCAAGUAGCGUGAAGGAUGAAGGUCCUACGGAUUGUAAACUUCUUUUAUAAGGGAAUAAACCCUCCCACGUGUGGGAGCUUGUAUGUACCUUAUGAAUAAGCAUCGGCUAACUCCGUGCCAGCAGUCGCGGUAAUACGGAGGAUGCGAGCGUUAUCCGG
rnacentral:rRNA from 1 species